AAACUGCCUGAUGGAGGGGGAUAACUACUGGAAACGGUAGCUAAUACCGCAUAACGUCUUCGGACCAAAGUGGGGGACCUUCGGGCCUCAUGCCAUCAGAUGUGCCCAGAUGGGAUUAGCUAGUAGGUGGGGUAAAGGCUCACCUAGGCGACGAUCCCUAGCUGGUCUGAGAGGAUGACCAGCCACACUGGAACUGAGACACGGUCCAGACUCCUACGGGAGGCAGCAGUGGGGAAUAUUGCACAAUGGGCGCAAGCCUGAUGCAGCCAUGCCGCGUGUAUGAAGAAGGCCUUCGGGUUGUAAAGUACUUUCAGCGAGGAGGAAGGGGUUGUGGUUAAUAACC
rnacentral:rRNA from 1 species